CUAUGGGGCCAGACCUGGAGGAUGUUAAACACCAAGUAGAGGAACACAAACUGUUGCAGGAGGACCUAGAGUUGGAGCAGGUGCGUGUCAACUCUCUGACACACAUGGUGGUGGUGGUGGAUGAGAACAGUGGAGACAGCGCCACCGCUGCCCUGGAGGAGAAACUACAGCACCUGGGAGACCGGUGGGCAGCCAUCUGUAAGUGGACAGAGGAGCAUUGGGUUCUGCUACAGGAGAUCCUGCUCCAGUGGCAACACUUCACUGAGGAACAG